AGGGGGAUAACAGUUAGAAAUGACUGCUAAUACCGCAUAAGCGCACAGUACCGCAUGGUACGGUGUGAAAAACUCCGGUGGUAUAAGAUGGACCCGCGUCUGAUUAGCCAGUUGGCGGGGUAACGGCCCACCAAAGCGACGAUCAGUAGCCGACCUGAGAGGGUGACCGGCCACAUUGGGACUGAGACACGGCCCAAACUCCUACGGGAGGCAGCAGUGGGGAAUAUUGCACAAUGGGGGAAACCCUGAUGCAGCAACGCCGCGUGAGUGAAGAAGUAUUUCGGUAUGUAAAGCUCUAUCAGCAGGGAAGAAGAUGACGGUACCUGACCAAGAAGCCCCGGCUAACUACGUGCCAGCAGCCGCGGUAAUACGUAGGGGGCAAGCGUUAUCCGGAUUUACUGGGUGUAAAGGGAGCGCAGACGGCAGUGCAAGUCUGAAGUGAAAGGCGGGGGCCCAACCCCCGGACUGCUUUGGAAACUGUAUGGCUGGAGUGCAGGAGAGGUAAGUGGAAUUCCUAGUGUAGCGGUGAAAUGCGUAGAUAUUAGGAGGAACACCAGUGGCGAAGGCGGCUUACUGGACUGUAACUGACGUUGAGGCUCGAAAGCGUGGGGAGCAAACAGGAUUAGAUACCCUGGUAGUCCACGCCGUAAACGAUGAUCACCAGGUGU
rnacentral:rRNA from 1 species